UCCCGUGGGAAAUUAUUUCGUCCCCCCCCCGGGAGAGUGUUUUUCGCCCCCCUGGGGGGAUGGAGCCCGCGCCACAUAUUCUCUUGGGGGGAGCACCCAUUAGGAAUUUCUCCCACAGGGGAAGAAAUUUUGAAGGAACACACCCCCGCUUGAGUGAAGAAGGGUUUCGGCUUGAAAAAACUUUGUUGUUAAAGAAGAACAUUUCUGAGAGUAACUGUUCAGGUAUUGACGGUAUUUAACCAGAAAGCCAGGGCUAAUUACGUGCCAGCAGCCGCGGUAAUACGUAGGUGGCAAGCGUUGUCCGGAUUUAUUGGGCGUAAAGCGAGCGCAGGCGGUUUUUUAAGUCUGAUGUGAAAGCCUUCGGCUCAACCGAAGAAGUGCAUCGGAAACUGGGAAACUUGAGUGCAGAAGAGGACAGUGGAACUCCAUGUGUAGCGGUGAAAUGCGUAGAUAUAUGGAAGAACACCAGUGGCGAAGGCGGCUGUCUGGUCUGUAACUGACGCUGAGGCUCGAAAGUAUGGGUAGCAAACAGGAUUAGAUACCCUGGUAGUCCAUACCGUAAACGAUGAAUGCUAAGUGUUGGAGGGUUUCCGCCCUUCAGUGCUGCAGCUAACGCAUUAAGCAUUCCGCCUGGGGAGUACGGCCGCAAGGCUGAAACUCAAAGGAAUUGACGGGGGCCCGCACAAGCGGUGGAGCAUGUGGUUUAAUUCGAAGCUACGCGAAGAACCUUACCAGGUCUUGACAUACUAUGCAAAUCUAAGAGAUUAGACGUUCCCUUCGGGGACAUGGAUACAGGUGGUGCAUGGUUGUCGUCAGCUCGUGUCGUGAGAUGUUGGGUUAAGUCCCGCAACGAGCGCAACCCUUAUUAUCAGUUGCCAGCAUUAAGUUGGGCACUCUGGUGAGACUGCCGGUGACAAACCGGAGGAAGGUGGGGAUGACGUCAAAUCAUCAUGCCCCUUAUGACCUGGGCUACACACGUGCUACAAUGGAUGGUACAACGAGUUGCGAACUCGCGAGAGUAAGCUAAUCUCUUAAAGCCAUUCUCAGUUCGGAUUGUAGGCUGCAACUCGCCUACAUGAAGUCGGAAUCGCUAGUAAUCGCGGAUCAGCAUGCCGCGGUGAAUACGUUCCCGGGCCUUGUACACACCGCCCGUCACACCAUGAGGAGUUUGUAACACCCAAAGUCGGUGGGGUAACCUUUAGGAACCAGCCGCUAAGUGACAGGAAGUGGGA
rnacentral:rRNA from 1 species